CCUACGGGAGGCAGCAGUAGGGAAUCUUCCACAAUGAGCGAAAGCCUGAUGGAGCAACGCCGCGUGGGUGAAGAAGGUCUUCGGAUCGUAAAACCCUGUUGUUAGAGAAGAAAGUUCGUGAGAGUAACUGUUCACGUUUCGACGGUAUCUAACCAGAAAGCGACGGCUAACUAUGUGCCAGCAGCCGCGGUAAUACUUAGGUGGCAAGCGUUAUCCGGAAUUAUUGGGCGUAAAGGGACCGCAGGCGGUUUUUUAAGUCUGUUGUAAAACCCUGGGGCUUAACCGGGGAGCGCCUUGGAAACUGGGAGACUAGAGUGCGAUAGAGGUGAGCGGAACUCCAUGUGAAGCGGUGAAAUGCGUAGAUAUAUGGAAGAACACCAUAGGCGAAGGCGGCUUACUGGUCCGUAACUGACGCUGAGGUACGAAAGCGUGGGUAGCAAACAGGAUUAGAUACCCGUGUAGUC
rnacentral:rRNA from 1 species